GUGAGGAAUAUUGGACAAUGGGCGCAAGCCUGAUCCAGCCAUGCCGCGUGCAGGAAGACGCAUCUAUGGUGUGUAAACUGCUUUUGUACGGGAAGAAACACUCCCUCGUGAGGGAGCUUGACGGUACCGUAAGAAUAAGGAUCGGCUAACUCCGUGCCAGCAGCCGCGGUAAUACGGAGGAUCCAAGCGUUAUCCGGAAUCAUUGGGUUUAAAGGGUCCGUAGGCGGUUUAAUAAGUCAGUGGUGAAAGCCCAUCGCUCAACGAUGGAACGGCCAUUGAUACUGUUAGACUUGAAUUACAAGGAAGUAAAUAGAAUAUGUAGUGUAGCGGUGAAAUGCUUAGAUAUUACAUGGAAUACCAAUUGCGAAGGCAGGUUACUACUUGUGGAUUGACGCUGAUGGACGAAAGCGUGGGGAGCGAACAGGAUUAGAAACCCGAGUAGUCC
rnacentral:rRNA from 1 species